CACGUAGGGGGCGAGCGUUGUCCGGAUUUAUUGGGCGUAAAGGGCUCGUAGGCGGCUCAGUAAGUCGGGUGUGAAACCUCCAGGCUCAACCUGGAGACGCCACUCGAUACUGCUGUGGCUAGAGUCCGGUAGGGGAGCAUGGAAUUCCUGGUGUAGCGGUGAAAUGCGCAGAUAUCAGGAGGAACACCAGUGGCGAAGGCGGUGCUCUGGGCCGGAACUGACGCUGAUGAGCGAAAGCGUGGGGACCAAACAGG
rnacentral:rRNA from 1 species